CCUACGGGUGACAGCAGUGAGGAAUAUUGGUCAAUGGACGAGAGUCUGAACCAGCCAAGUAGCGUGAAGGAUGACUGCCCUAUGGGUUGUAAACUUCUUUUAUAUGGGAAUAAACUGUUCCACGUGUGGGAUUUUGUAUGUACCAUAUGAAUAAGGAUCGGCUAACUCCGUGCCAGCAGCCGCGGUAAUACGGAGGAUCCGAGCGUUAUCCGGAUUUAUUGGGUUUAAAGGGAGCGUAGGUGGAUUGUUAAGUCAGUUGUGAAAGUUUGCGGCUCAACCGUAAAAUUGCAGUUGAAACUGGCAGUCUUGAGUUCAGUAGAGGUGGGCGGAAUUCGUGGUGUAGCGGUGAAAUGCUUAGAUAUCACGAAGAACUCCGAUUGCGAAGGCAGUUCACUGGACUGCAACUGACACUGAGGCUCGAAAGUGUGGGUAUCAAACAGGAUUAGAUACCCCUGUAGUC
rnacentral:rRNA from 1 species